rnacentral:rRNA from 1 species
UACGUAGGCAGCGAGCGUUGUUCGGAGUUACUGGGCGUAAAGGGUGUGUAGGCGGUUUUCUAAGUUUGGUGUGAAAUCUCCCGGCUCAACCGGGAGGGUGCGCCGAAAACUGGGAGACUAGAGUGCGGGAUGGGAGAGUAGAAUUCCUGGUGUAGCGGUGAAAUGCGUAGAUAUCGGAAGGAACACCAGUGGCGAAAGCGGCUUCCUGGUCCAGCACCGACGUUCAGGCACGAAAGCGUGGGGAGCAAACAGG